rnacentral:lncRNA from 1 species
AUGUGUCAUAGCAACGGGAAACCCCACUACCAUGUCGCUGAGCCCACAGGGGAUGUGUACCUGGCCAGGUUACUCUCCUGUCCCCAGCCGCUGAGCAUGGAGACCCUGCAGGGUGUGCGGGAUGCACUGGAGACUCAGGGAGUGCUGGAUGAGGAGCUGGGAGCCUGCUUUGAGCGGACCCUGGCAGAGUUUCCCCAGGAGCCCCCGUGUGUGCAGAACAACGCAGAGAUGGUGAUCCAGAGCGAUGAGACUGAGCUGACGUUCCUCUCUGGGAAGGGCAAAUGUAAGAUCAGGAUCUCUGACAAUGGUGCCUGCUAUGAGGUUAAAGAGCCAACGGCCCAGGUGUACCUGGCCAGGUUAAAGUCCCGUCCCCAGAAGCUGAGCACCAAGUCCCUGCAGGGUGUGCGGGAUGCGCUGGAGAAGUGGGGGUUGCUGGACGAGGAGCUGGGAGCCUGCUUUGAGCGGGCCCUGGAGGAGUUCUCCCGGGAGCCCCACUGUGUGAAGUGCAACGCCCGGAUGGUGAUCAGGCAUGAGCACACCGAGCUGGUGUUUGUGUCAGGCCAGGGGCAAUGUGAGAUCACUGUGUCCGAAGGUGAGAGGGAGCCCUGCUACGAGGUGAAGGAGCCCACGGUGACGGUGUAUCAGGAGAGGUUACGCUCCCGCCCACAAAGGCUGAGCGUGGGGAACCUGCAGAGAAUUCGCGACAGGCUGGAGUCCUGGGAGGUGAUGACCAAGGAGCUGAGACGCUGCUUCGAUCUGGUGCUGAGGGAAUUCCCCAAAGAGCCGGAGUGCAUCCGGGACAACCCCAGGAUGUGCGUCGCCUGGGACGAGACAAAGCUGCGACUGGUGUCUGAAGAUGGGGACUGCGAGGUCUCCGUGACCUGCUGUGAUGGGAAGCCCAGCUACGAGGUGAAGGUGAAGAGCUGGGCAAUGUAUCGGGAGAAGAUGCGUCUCUCUGAAUGGCUGCUGAGCACUGAAAACCUGCAGAGUGUGCGGGAAGAGGUGCGGGGUCUUUCAGGGGCUCCUGAGAAGGUCAAGGAGGCCUUGAACGUGGCCAUUAGGGAUUUCUCCGCUGAGCCGCGCUGCCUGCAGGAGAACGCCCGGCUGGUCAUUGAGUGCGACAAGGGUGAGAUGGUCUUUGUCUCCGGGAAAGGGGAGAAUACAGUGGAUGUGUGCGUCAUCGAUGGGAAGGUCAGUUACAGUGUCGCAGCCACCAAGUGUAUGACUUUCCUUAGGAUGUUCCUGAAACUACCCUCCAAGAUCCCUGAGGCCUUGAAGAUGCUCAUCCCCAUCUUAGCCCAGUUCCUGCUAAUGGUGUUGAGAGCGCUGUGA